AAUAGAAUACUGUAACAAUAAUAAAACAAGAUUUCAUUUCAGCUUAAACUGAUUAAAAGAAUUUAUUUAGUAUACUUAAACUUUUCUGAGGAGCACCGCUCUGUUGCGUUGCUUUGGAGAGAAAUCCGUGAGUCACUCGAUUGGAUCAUGCACCCGGCAGUCGAACUGAACUGCACAGCGAAAAGAUAGUCGGUGCGUGGAUUUUCCAGCGAAAUGCCGAGAGAUUCGAGCUGUCCCAACUGCGAUUCGCAGUCCAUGGUGUGGAAACGUCGUUUGACUAUCUCGCGGUUCAAGAAGUUGAAGAUGGAUUUUUGUGCCCUGUGCUGCUGUCGUCGAUAUUGUGGAGUCGGCAUCUAUAAGACCUAUUUCAAAUGCAGUUCCUGUGGCUGGAAGGGCAAUCCUAACCGAUCUCACUAAGAUGCCAAGCCUAUUCAGCUGUUGCAUUUCGCGUCUGCUGUUUACCACACAGUGGAGCUGAAUGAAUGCGAAAAGCUUUCGAGCUUUGGGAGUACACUUUGAAAAAUGACUUACGCUCAAAUAAUUAAUAAUAAUAAUAACAAUACGGAAAAUAGUUGCUCCCUUCCGUGAUUGAAUAUAGCAAUAGCCAUAUGGCUAUAUGAUUCAUUCUCCGAGCGAUUUCUUUACCGGCAUCUUACAAUGGUACAUAAAUAUAUGCACAUAAUAUGUAUGUCAAACCUUGUUGAUAACAGGGGGCCUUAUCAGCUUAGCUUGGACUUUUCACAGAAUUCGGGAGUAGCGUUUGGAGGGUCCGUAAGUGGCUCAUUGAUGGAGCUUAGUUCUGAAAAGAUGCCGUUCGAUAGAAAACCAGCUUUCAAAACGCGCUCCUCGGAGGUUUACAGGAGUUUAUCCGAACCGACGGCUACAAAUCCGAGUUCAGACGCGAGAGAUACUUCCCAAGUAUGCCUAAAUUCUGAGGACCUAAAGUUGUCUUGGGGCCAAAGAUUUUGGUUUAGUGUGCGGUCCUUUUGUUGCUGCGGAAAACCCGUAAAAUGAAUAUGCUGAAUGAAUACAAUACAAAUCCAAAAACUAUUGAGUGUUUUAAAAAAAGUUAAUAAUGGUAUUUUGAUUGAAAUGUAUGUAUAACAUUAUUUAUAAAAUGAUUAAAUAUAAUGUCAUACCUGCGUUUGACUCAGCACAUU